GAUGAACGCUAGCGGCAGGCCUAACACAUGCAAGUCGAGGGGCAGCACAGAAACAGCAAUGUUUAGGUGGCGACCGGCGGACGGGUGCGUAACGCGUAUGCAACCUACCUUUAACAGGGGGAUAACGGAGAGAAAUUUCCACUAAUACCCCAUAACAUCGAUCAAGGCAUCUUGAUUGGUUGAAAACUCCGGUGGUUAAAGAUGGGCAUGCGUUGUAUUAGGUAGUUGGUGAGGUAAUGGCUCACCAAGCCUACGAUACAUAGGGGGACUGAGAGGUUAGCCCCCCACACUGGUACUGAGACACGGACCAGACUCCUACGGGAGGCAGCAGUGAGGAAUAUUGGUCAAUGGGGGCAACCCUGAACCAGCCAUGCCGCGUGCAGGAAGACGGCUCUAUGAGUUGUAAACUGCUUUUAAACAGGGAUAAAGCACAGUAUGUAUACUGUGUUGAAGGUACUGUAAGAAUAAGGAUCGGCUAACUCCGUGCCGGCAGCCGCAGUAA
rnacentral:rRNA from 1 species